UCAAUUAUCUCCCUCUCUAUGGGUCUCCUCGUCGGCGAAGGACCGCUCUCUCUCUCUGGGUGGAUAUACUGGAAUCGGAAGUGGCUCUCGUCGAUGGCGAUAUAUGGCUCUCUGUCGGUGGCUCUCCUCCACGGCGACGGAGCUCUCUGUCGAUGCCUCUCCGCGAUUCGUACAGAGAUCAACGUGAGAUGAAGGGAUCAGCUUGCGUUUCAUAUGUUCUGUGGAAUGAGAGGUUAGGAAGGUUCAUCAA